rnacentral:other from 1 species
AAAAUUCUGUGGUGUACGCGUUGUCUAAACGCAGGUUUGCCUUACAGUCUUAUAAAAUUGGGACUAGUGUUUUGCUAGUUGGCCAGUAUGCCUUUUCACUUGGUAACUGAAUAACUAGCAACCGUGUCCCACCUGUCUUAAACACAGGUCAACACUGAAUGACAAUUAACGGCACUAACGGAGUUUUC